ensembl:lncRNA
GUAUGGAAUCUGUGAAGGCACAUGCAUUUCUAGGUUGACUACGCUCCUUGUAAUUUGAAAUGGAAAAGUCAGUAAAAUCAAACAAGAUAUUUCUACAGACAGAUAUCAUCUGCCAGUGAAGGUACUGCUAAACAAACGUGUCCACAGACAGAUAUCCUCUGCCAGUGAAGGUACUGCUAAACAAACGUGUCCACAGACAGAUAUCCUCUGCCAGUGAAGGUACUGCUAAACAAAUGUGUCCACAGACAGAUAUCAUCUGCCAGUGAAGGUACUGCUAAACAAAUGUGUCCACAGACAGAUAUCAUCUGCCA